GACGAACGCUGGCGGCGUGCUUAACACAUGCAAGUCGAACGGUGAAAGCGGAGCUUGCUCCGCUGGAUCAGUGGCGAACGGGUGAGUAACACGUGGGCAACCUGCCCCUCACUUCGGGAUAACUCCGGGAAACCGGGGCUAAUACCGGAUAUGACCUCCUUGGGCAUCCUUGGAGGUGGAAAGUUUUUCGGUGAGGGAUGGGCCCGCGGCCUAUCAGCUUGUUGGUGAGGUAGUGGCUCACCAAGGCGACGACGGGUAGCCGGCCUGAGAGGGCGACCGGCCACACUGGGACGGGGACACGGCCCAGACUCCUACGGGAGGCAGCAGUGGGGAAUAUUGCGCAAGGGGCGAAAGCCUGACGCAGCAACGCCGCGUGCGGGAUGACGGCCUUCGGGUUGUAAACCGCUUUCAGCAGGGAGGAAGCCGCAAGGUGACGGUACCUGCAGAAGAAGCACCGGCUAACUACGUGCCAGCAGCCGCCGCGG
rnacentral:rRNA from 1 species